rnacentral:misc_RNA from 1 species
AUGAAAAUUAACACGUGAUGAAAAAUGUGACAGUGUCAGACCACGGAGGAAGAAUUGAAACAGGAAUUUCUUUAAGUACUUUCGUAUAUUAAUACAUCUUCAGAAGGAAUAUAUAUAUAUAUCAGACGGGUAUUCGAGCACACGGUUGAAUACAGUGAGACGGUAUAAAUAUGCUGAUUUUGGUGUCGGUCACUCCAGCGUCGGGAGGUGAUGGUGUAGUGACCGUGAAGUUCGAGGUGGAGGUGGGGAACAUGAUUGGGAUGGACGGAUCAGCUGGAGGUCUGAUUGGACGCUUCACAGCUGAAGGCGAAGGCCGAGGUGUCGUUGGAAUAACAAUCUUCUCUGAGCCAGAAAUUAAAGGCUUCUGAGGGUAUACGAUGUUGGUUUUGGAGGAUUUUAUCUUUGUCCGGACAGGUGCAACAGGUUUGCCAGGGUAUAGUAUGGCCCUGAACUGUACAGAUUCGUCAGAAGGCAUGAAGGACUCUAAGAACACUGGAGACAAUGAAGACUUCUCCAUCUGUGUCUCCUGUACUACUUCCAGUUCAUCCGGUUGUGCCUGCAAUGUGUCCUGUGCCUCCUGAUGUGCUUCCUCCAAUGUUUUCCAUGGUAAGCCCUGCAGUCGCUCCAACGAUGCUUGACGUGGUACUUCUAGGAGUUUCUUCUGCAGUGACCCCUGCAUGGCCUCCUGCGUGAUGCUGAAGGACGAACUGGCCGAGGACUGAAGUUUCUGAGGCGCGAGGUCAACGAGAGGUUGGAUUCCUUGAGUCAUGUGAUUCGCCGGAAGUUUAUCACGAAGGAAAAGGUAAUGGGAAGAACUGGGAACAGCUGUUAGUUCUUCCUGCAUAUCAUCAACAUUAAGCGGAGCCCAGGAAGAAGCGGGAAUUGUUUGUGGUUGAAGCAAUGCAUGCUGAAAAGUGGACGUGGGAGAGAGCAGUGUAGAGCUUGGCAGAGUGAAGCCCACACUGGCGUAGGGAAGUGGAACCUGUGACAUGUACAGGUUGGCGUGCCAGGUGUGUAUAACCUGACCUGGCACUUGACUCUGUGAGGUGUGUGGGGGCGGCGCGGACCACUCAGAUGACCUCCGUGCGCCUGGGUUGACGAUGAGAGUGUUGCUGCCACCUGUGGAGAAAAAGAGGUCCCAGAGUUACUAUAACGAAGGUAAUUUUUGCACAUAUGCAGGAUUUUUCAUAUAUGUGUUUAUUAAUUACAAUAUACGGAAACACCUGCAAAGUCUUUCAAGGCAGACGAUAAUUCCGAGAUAGACAAUAUAACAGAAAAUAUUUACAACCCACAUUAUCUACAGAGAUCGCGCCGAAGCAUUCAAAUUGUACUCUCUGGAAAAUACUGGAAAAUCAGGUUUCAAACCUGCACAAUAAUAUUACAACAUACUAGAAGAUAUGUUAUGACAAGUCGAGGUGUCAUAAGCACAAUUAGAGAAUACUGCAUAACAGACGAGGCCAGUUCGUCUUCAACCUCCCGCCAGCAAAUAUAAGAAACAUCACUGAAACAACAUGUAGGAGUGACGUGGUCAACCGGAUUUACCAGUCGCCAGCAACACUCUUGCCCACAGCUUAGACAAUCAGAGGACACCCACGUGGUCCGCACCAUUCCCACACACCUCGCAAAGCCAAGUAACAGUGCAGCCUAUACACAUUUGGAACAACAACUUAUAUGUGUCGCAG